CACGUGAGGGCGCAAGCGUUGUCCGGAAUUAUUGGGCGUAAAGAGCUCGUAGGCGGUCUGUUGCGUCCGCUGUGAAAACUCGGGGGCUUAACCCCCGAGCCUGCAGUGGAUACGGGCAGACUAGAGGUAGGUAGGGGGAGAAUGGAAUUCCCGGUGUAGCGGUGAAAUGCGCAGAUAUCGGGAGGAACACCGGUGGCGAAGGCGGUUCUCUGGGCCUUACCUGACGCUGAGGAGCGAAAAGCGUGGGGAGCGAACAGG
rnacentral:rRNA from 1 species